CACGACGUGACCGAGUGGUUAAGGUGUUCGCCUGCUAAAUAAUCUCAGUGAGCGGAUGUGCUUUGCACGCGUGUGUUCGAAUCGCACCGUCGUCG